rnacentral:lncRNA from 1 species
CUGAUUCCAGGGUAGAAAAGGAGAAUCUGGCUUCAGAGGGACACCUGGUCUUAAAGGAGCAAAGGUUACAAAAAAAAUAAUAAAAUGCUGCCUGUUACAAGUGCUUAGGUUUGUGCAGCUGACUGAAAACUGAAUCUGUUUAUAAGGGGGAGCCUGGCUUGAAUGGUCGACCUGGAAGUGAUGGUCUGGAGGUAAACUUUUUCAUAAGCUGUUGAUUGAUAGAAGUCUGACCAUACGAUGUGGUUCAAUGUAUUUCUAUAUAUUAAAAUACUGGGAGGUAAUACAUUAGUAUAUUUUAAAUUUAGGUUUAAGAAACCUGUCUAAUAGCAAGAAACACCACCAUAUGCAAACAUUUGGACUAAAAAUAAGGCGCAACAUCCACAACCCUGCCAUCUAGUGGUUUGGGUUUAAAUCCAAAGCAAAAUAAUUCAGACAGUAAACAAUAUUUAAGUACAUCACCCUCUCUGCGAACCCAUACUGUUACAUCCUUCUCAAAGUUCAGACUUUAAAACAGUGUCAUCUUCUACAGGGUCAACCAGGCUACAAGGGAAACAAGGUGGGUCUCGCCCACCCUUAGUGAUAAGCUGCUGCAUUUUAUCAAGUGAACUGUCCAAAGGGAAUAAUUCAUGUGUUGUCUUGUAGGGAGAGAGAGGAGACUGUGGUACUCCAGGGGAGAAGGGUGACAUUGGCCCAGAAGGACUGGCAGGCCAACGAGGGCCCAAAGGGGAAAAGGGUUCGAUAGGACCCACAGGAGACACGGGUCCUGAGGGGCCCCCAGGACCUAAGGGCGACAUGGGGCCCAGUGGUGUUCCAGGACCACCGGGGGAAACCAGCAGAGGCUUCCCAGGAGCUAAGGUGUCAUACAAGUCAUGAUAAGUCAUAUAGUCCCAACAUCAGUUUAAUAUGUAUGUGGAUUAUGGAGGUAUUUUAAUUGUUUCUACU